GGAUCUGAGGCAAUCUGGGUGAGUUAUCUGUCACCCUCUUGAUUGCCAGGGCUGAUUCCGCCAUUGUGCCUGGCUGGCCAGGUGUCCCCUUCCUCCCUCACGUCUCCGAGUGUGUACCUUCCAAAGCUGCAUGCUCGGCCGAAGAGGACACCCUCCCUGAUGGAGGAGGACUGUCUUCAGUCAAGGGUUUACAAGUAGCGCGCUCCCCUGCUAGAACCUGCAAACAAGCUCUCAAGAUAUGCUCAUCGAUACUCUGUAAUUUUAAAAUACAAAUAAAAAGUAUGUCCAAAAUUUCAAAAGUCAGUCUUU
rnacentral:snRNA from 1 species